rnacentral:rRNA from 1 species
AAUCAACGCUGGCGGCGUGCCUAACACAUGCAAGUCGAGCGAGAAAGGGGACUUCGGUUCCUGAGUACAGCGGUGGACGGGUGAGUAACGCGUGGGUAAUCUACCCUCGAGUGGGGAAUAACACCGGGAAACUGGUGCUAAUACCGCAUGACAUCCUCGGAUCUUCGGGUCUGGGGAUCAAAGCCGGGGACCGCAAGGCCUGGCGCUUGGGAAGGAGCCCGCGUCCGAUUAGCUUGUUGGCGGGGUAACGGCCCACCAAGGCUUCGAUCGGUAGCCGGCCUGAGAGGGCGGACGGCCACACUGGGACUGAGACACGGCCCAGACUCCUACGGGAGGCAGCAGUGGGGAAUUUUUCGCAAUGGGGGCAACCCUGACGAAGCAACGCCGCGUGGAGGAUGAAGGCCCUCGGGUCGUAAACUCCUGUCGACCGGGACGAAAGCAGCUCGGGUCAAUACCCCGGGUUGUUGACUGUACCGGUGGAGGAAGCUCCGGCUAACUCUGUGCCAGCAGCCGCGGUAAUACAGAGGGAGCAAGCGUUGUUCGGAAUUACUGGGCGUAAAGGGCGCGUAGGCGGCUGGGUCAGUUUCGUGUGAAAUCCCUCGGCUCAACUGAGGAACUGCACGGAAUACUGCCCGGCUUGAGUUCGGGAGAGGGAAGCGGAAUUCCGGGUGUAGCGGUGAAAUGCGCAGAUAUCCGGAGGAACACCAGUGGCGAAGGCGGCUUCCUGGACCGUGACUGACGCUGAGGCGCGAAAGCUAGGGGAGCGAACGGGAUUAGAUACCCCGGUAGUCCUAGCCGUAAACGAUGAGUGCUGGGUGUAGGGGGUAUUGACCCCCCUGUGCCGAAGCUAACGCAUUAAGCACUCCGCCUGGGGAGUACGGUCGCAAGGCUG